UACAGAGGGUGCAAGCGUUAAUCGGAAUUACUGGGCGUAAAGCGGGCGUAGGUGGUUUGUUAAGUUGAAUGUGAAAUCCCCGGGCUCAACCUGGGAACUGCAUCCAAAACUGGCAAGCUAGAGUAGGGCAGAGGGUGGUGGAAUUUCCUGUGUAGCGGUGAAAUGCGUAGAUAUAGGAAGGAACACCAGUGGCGAAGGCGACCACCUGGGCUCAUACUGACACUCAGGUGCGAAAGCGUGGGGAGCAAACAGG
rnacentral:rRNA from 1 species